CAGCAUGUAGGAUCUUAGUUCCCUGACCAGGGAUCGAACCAGCUUCCCCUGCUUUGGAAGUGUGGAGUCUUAACCACUGGACUGCCAGGGAAGUCCUGAGCCUUUUAUGUACUCAUUUUCAAGGUUACUGGUUUGUCUUCUCAUCCACAGCAGAGUUCAAAAUGAGCACAGAUUCCCCACAGAGCAAGUGCUAUGAACAAUGCAGCAGAUCAUCUGCCUCUGGAUUUUCUUUCUACUGUCAGGAAGUCUCCUUCUCCAUAUUUAGGAAAAUGGAUGCCUACAGCCACAGAUGCAGAUCCUCCCGGUGGCUACUGUGCCAACUCUCAUUGCAGGUAGCUAGUGAUUUCAAGAGCUGCAGAGUCGAGGCUGAAGUGCUCUGUCUGUGGAACACAUCUCAGCAUAUGAUGCAUUUUCAGGAAUUCAAGAGGUAUCAAAAGGAGACAAAAUGUAUGUUAGGACUCAGGCAUCCAUUCCAUUCUUCCAUUAUUUCCAAGAUGAAGGAGCAAGAGAAUGGAAAUAGAAGGUCACAGCACCUGGAACUGGCAGCACAUCACAGAGCAGGCACAAGACUAACAAUGGAACUAUUCUGGGCAACAUUGUCAUUAAGAGACACACUACAAUUUCCAAAGAAUGCUUCUUUUUGAAACAAGG